rnacentral:rRNA from 1 species
CCUACGUGAGGCUGCAGUGAGGGAUAUUGGUCAAUGGGCGAAAGCCUGAACCAGCCACGUCGCGUGAAGGAUGACUGCCCUACGGGUUUUAAACUUCUUUUAUAAGGGAGUAGAGUGCGCCACAUGUGCGUUUUUGUCUGUACUUUAUGAAUAAGCAUCGGCUAAAUCCGUGCCAGCAGCCGCAGUAAUACGGAGGCUCCGAGCGUUAUCCGGAUUUAUUGGGGUUAAAGGGAGCGUAGGGGGGUCGGUAAGUCCGGUGGGAAAGGUUGCGGGCCAACCGUACCAGUGCAAUUGAUACUGGCAGUCUUGAGUACAGUCGAGGUAGGCGGAAUUCGUGGUGUAGCGGUGAAAUGCUUAGAUAUUACGAAGAACUCCGAUGGCGAAGGCAGCGUACUAAACGGAGACUGACACUGAGGCUCGAAAGUGUGGGUAUCAAACAGGAUUAGAUACCCCUGUAGUC